rnacentral:rRNA from 1 species
AGUGAACGCUGGCGGUAGGCCUAACACAUGCAAGUCGAACGGCAGCACAGUAAGAGCUUGCUCUUACGGGUGGCGAGUGGCAGACGGGUGAGGAAUACAUCGGAAUCUACUUUUUCGUGGGGGAUAACGUAGGGAAACUUACGCUAAUACCGCAUACGACCUACGGGUGAAAGCAGGGGAUCUUCGGACCUUGCGCGAUUGAAUGGGCCGAUGUCGGAUUAGCUAGUUGGCGGGGUAAAGGCCCACCAAGGCGACGAUCCGUAGCUGGUCUGAGAGGAUGAUAGGCCGCACUGGAACGGGGACACGGUCCAGAGGCCUACGGGAGGCAGCAGAGGGGAAUAUUGGACAAUGGGGGCAAGUAUGAUCCAGCCAGACCGCGUGGGAGAAGAAGGCGUUCGGUUUGUAAUGACGGUUUGUUGGGAAAGAAAAGCAGCAGGUUAAUACGCCGCUGUUCUGACGGUACCUAAAGAAUAAGCACCGGCUAACUUCGUG